GAUGAACGCUGGCGGCGUGCUUAACACAUGCAAGUCGAACGGAGUAAAGAUUUUGAUUUCUAACGAUUGAGAGGUCUUUACUUAGUGGCGGACGGGUGAGUAACGCGUGGAUAACCUGCCCCAUACCGGGGGAUAACAGCCGGAAACGGCUGCUAAUACCGCAUAAGCGCACGAGGCUGCAUGGCCCUGUGUGAAAAACUCCGGUGGUAUGGGAUGGAUCCGCGUCUGAUUAGCUAGUUGGUGAGAUAAAAGCCCACCAAGGCGACGAUCAGUAGCCGACCUGAGAGGGUGGCCGGCCACAUUGGGACUGAGACACGGCCCAG
rnacentral:rRNA from 1 species